rnacentral:rRNA from 1 species
GACGAACGCUGGCGGCGUGCUUAACACAUGCAAGUCGAACGAUGAACCCGGAGCUUGCUCCGGUGGAUUAGUGGCGAACGGGUGAGUAACACGUGAGUAACCUGCCCUUGACUCUGGGAUAACUGCGGGAAACUGUAGCUAAUACCGGAUACGACCCUCGGCGGCAUCGCCAGGGGGUGGAAAGAAUUUCGGUCAAGGAUGGACUCGCGGCCUAUCAGCUAGUUGGGGAGGUAACGGCUCACCAAGGCGACGACGGGUAGCCGGCCUGAGAGGGUGGCCGGCCACACUGGGACUGAGACACGGCCCAGACUCCUACGGGAGGCAGCAGUGGGGAAUAUUGCACAAUGGGCGCAAGCCUGAUGCAGCGACGCUGCGUGAGGGAUGACGGCCUUCGGGUUGUAAACCUCUUUUAGUAGGGAAGAAGCGAAAGUGACGGUACCUGCAGAAAAAGCACCGGCUAACUACGUGCCAGCCGCCGCAGUAA